ACCCCAUUCUCUCUGUUCGUCCUUCCUUGACCAGUCUGUAAACCUUCACUGUUUGUUUGGGGAUCGUCCUGUCCAUCCAUGUAAAUACUCACUCUCAGGCCUGCCUGGGGAGUCGUGUCCCUCAGCUGCAGGGCACUGUGUUGGGAAACCAUUGGCUGGGCCUUUGAGGACACAGAUCAGGAGAAAGACAACUUUCCUCUGCUCGGAACACUCACUCACACAGAAGGGCUGGCCGCCUCCCUGAGCCGGCUGGGAGUGGACGACAGGACCUACCUCCCCAGAGCAGGGGCCUGGGGCUUCCCGCCAAAGCUGCCGCGGAACCCCGCUAGUGCGACCACCCUCCCUCCGUCGGUAUGUCCUGCUUUCCAGCUGAACCCAAACUACAAGUGGGUUUUAAAAAAAUAAACACCACCA
rnacentral:sRNA from 1 species